rnacentral:rRNA from 1 species
CCUACGGGAGGCAGCAGUGGGGAAUAUUGGGCAAUGGGCGCAAGCCUGACCCAGCAACGCCGCGUGAAGGAAGAAGGCCCUCGGGUUGUAAACUUCUUUUAUCAAGGACGAAACAAAUGACGGUACUUGAUGAAUAAGCCACGGCUAACUACGUGCCAGCAGCCGCGGUAAUACGUAGGUGGCAAGCGUUAUCCGGAUUUACUGGGUGUAAAGGGCGUGUAGGCGGGACUGCAAGUCAGAUGUGAAAACCAUGGGCUCAACCCAUGGCCUGCAUUUGAAACUGUAGUUCUUGAGUGUUGGAGAGGCAGGCGGAAUUCCGGGUGUAGCGGUGAAAUGCGUAGAUAUACGGAGGAACACCAGUGGCGAAGGCAGCUUACUAAACUGUGACUGACAUUGAUGCUCGAAAGUGUGGGUAUCAAACAGGAUUAGAUACCCCAGUAGUC